CAAGACGCCAGAGGGUGAAGCCAGCCCGGAGGGGGCGGGGAAAAGGGGAGGGGGCUAAAAGAUGGUCGUGUUUGAUGUUAAUGCGAGUGCGGUGCAGAGAGGGAGGCAGUUGUGACCGCAAGCUGAUUUUGGGGGCUGGGAUUAUGACAAGGAAAAAUGGAGCUUCCUUUUUGCUGUUCACCCAUCCAAGGAUCCAGUGGCUCAAGUUUCAUGGAGUGCGACCAAAUAUCCCUUUGAAAGCUGAUCAGCACUGGACCAGAAACCACUGCAGAAAAUCUGUCAGGACCUCCUGAAGCCCAGUCCCCAUUGUGAAGGCAGCAGCAGGAAACCUGCUUCAGGACAAGAGCAACUUCAGUUUUUCCAGGUUGCCCCGGCUGGCACCUUCAGCACAAUGCUGAAUAGAAGUGAUGAGAGCAAACAUCCUUGUCUUCUUCCUGAUUUUAGUAGUUUUUACCCAUGUGAAUGAAAAAUACUGCCUGCCAUCAAGCCAUCACAUUGAAGCUGCCCCUGACUGUGAGCCCUGAGGGAACUCAGGAUGGAGACAGGAUGCCCAUCAUCAGCCACUGCAGCCAUCCCCCAACAGUGCACCCUUAGGAGAUUCUGGAUGGGAAAGCACAGGGUACUGGCCCUAGAGAGUGGAGGUGCAUAUCAAAGGAAUGAUUUCAAUAAGCCCAGAUUCUUGCAUCUUCCCAUACAUAGAAAAGUGCUAAAGUCCUUAACUCGAGAUGUCUGAUUUUAUUUAAUUAACAGUAACCUUUUGAUGUUCUGACUACCUGGUCUUUGUUGCAAAAACUCCUAUAUAUCCUGGCUCCUCCCUUACCUCUUCAGAACAGUCCUUUAGAGUGAUCUGAGAGGCUGUCUCCUGGGCUUGAAGUCCUCAGUAUGUCCACUGAAUAAAACAUAAUUCUCAGCUUUUAGGUUGUGCAUUUUUUAGUUGACACCCAGCUUCUUAAAAUAUAUUUGCAUUUAAAAAAUCAUCCAUGUACACCAUAGAGAAAUAGUAGUGCCUUCAGUAAACCAAUUAUAACAUGAAAUAUCAAAGUCUUCUGCAUCAUAGACCCCAGUCCACAACCCAGAGGUAAUCAUUUUGGCAUCUCUGUUUUGUGACUCUGUUUAGGGGCCUUUGUUUUUCAGAGCAAUUCUGAGUUCACAGCAAUACUGAGCAGAAGGUACAGAGAUGUCCCAUAUACUCUGGCCCCCUACACGUGCAUAGCCUCCAUUAUCAACACCCCCCACCAGAGUGGUAUGUUUGAAGGAGAAUUAAUAAAAUGGCCGCACUUAGGCUAACAGAUUGCUUAUUCUUAUGCUUGCCCUUAGAAUGAUCAGCAAGCCUGACUGACCCGUUACUACUCACAGCUCCAAGCCCAUUGUUAAAACUAAAGCUAUUGAUUUUACUAUUUCUGCUCUAUCCCAGUAAUUAAAAGUAACAAUCAUGCUUGGUUUCUGAGUCCUUCUCCAGGGAGAAGGUCACAGGACUGUAACCUCAUAAAAUAGCCUGAAUUACCAAGAAGACCAGGCCUUGGGUGCUUAUAAGAUAAAGAGAUGGAAAGAGCGACAACCACUAGCCUCUAUAGAAUUGGUCACCUGGAGACACCAUGAUGCCACUCUGUCUUAUGAGAAGAAAAUAAUUCUGUUGAUUGUUAUCGAUGCUUUAUUGUCUGAGCUAUGGCUAUAUAAUCAUUCUGCCCCAUCCUCAAGAUGGGUUCACAGUUUUGAAGGCACUAGCCUGCUGUGAGUCACCUUUGCCUGGCAAAACAAUAAAGCUGUCUCUUUUCUUCUAAGUUCCAAAACCCUGUCUCUGAGUUAUUUGGCUCCUCAGGGAUGGGGGCCCAUCUUUCAGCAACACAUUUGUUAAUACUAAUGAACCUAUGUUCACACAUAGUAAUCACCCAAAGUCCAUAGUUUACAUUAGGGUUUACGCAUGGCAUUGGCCAUUCUAUGGGUUUGGACGUACUCGUAAUGACAUGUAUUAGCCAUUUCAUAUUUCUUGAUUUAUCAACAUUUGAUUGUAUCUAGAAGAAGUAAUUUUCAAGCUCACACUCUCGGCUCCCUUCCCACCUUUCUUCUCCCCUAAUGUCAAUUAUCUGUUUGUUUCCUCCUAGUGGUAUGAUAGAUUGUGUUUUCAAAGUUGACUGCAACAAUGUCUCCCAUCCCACAUUCUCCCUUGCAAUAUUAAUUUACCUUUCUUCCAUCAAGAGGUGGAGUCUGUUUCCCCUUCCUCUGAAUUUUGGCUGCCCCUGGACCCAUUUUGAUCAAUGAAAUGCAAGAAAAGUGACAAUGUGUACCUUCCAAGGCUGGACCUUAAGAGAUCUGCAACAUCUGUCUUCACCUUGAAAUGUUUCUUCUUGGAAACUUGUCAUCAUCCUGUGAGGAAGCCAAAGCAGACAGUAGACAGGCUGACAUCCAGCGGAACACAGCUCGACGUGUAACAUUGUGGCCAGGGCUCCCCACUGAGCUUUAAGCUGGCAAUGAACAUCCCCUGCUAGUCAUAUGAGGAAGGCUAUCUUGGAGCAUCCAGCUAUUCCAGCUUCUCAGCCAACGCUGCGGGAAGCAGAGCCACCCAACUGAACAUUGCUUGAAUUUGUGACCCAUAGAAUUAUAAACAAAUAAAAUGAUUGCUGUUUUAAGCCACUAAAUUUUGGAGCAGUUUGUUACACAGCAAUAGGUAGCUGAAACACAUGGCUAAUUUAUAAUUUUAAAUUGUACCCUUAAACUUCUAUUUAUUGAUUCCACUAUGUAUAAUAAAAAUUUGUUUAUCCUGUUGUGGACAAAGAAUGUGGCCUGCCAUUUCUGCCAUUUCAGUACAAAGAAUGUUGUGGCCAUCAAGCCUGCAGCCACUGGAGCUGCCCUUCAGGUCACACCUGUGGGAUGUAGAAAAUUGGAUACUGGCCCUAGACAGUUAAGAUGCAUAUUGAAUAUUUCAGUAAACCCAGACUCUUGCCUCUUCCCAUAUGUAGAAAUGCACCAUAAUCAUCAACUUGAGAUGUCUGUUUUUGUGAUUAGCAGUAAUCUUUUGAUGUUCAACUACAUUUUUUUUUUUUUUCCCAGUAAAAACUCCCUUACAUCUUUGGAACAGACCCUCAGAGCUAUCAGAGAGGCUAUAUUCUGGGCUAAAGUCCUCAGUAAAUCUGCUGAAUAAAACAUAAUUCUCAGCCUUUAGACUGUGCUUUUCCCCCCCUAGUUAUCUCCCCACAUUUCCCAACCUCUGUGGCUGUAUCAUUACUUCUACUUUGUCAAUGUUUUAAAUAUGUAUAUUCUAUCUUAUACUUAAGAUAAACUAUUCUGUGCAUAUAAACUCUGUGCAAUGAACUAUUCUCUGCAUUAUUUAGCUUUGCUCUUUCAAAUAUGGUAGCUACUAGCCAUAUGUGGCUAUUGAGCACUUGAAAUGUGUCCAGCCAAUUGAUAUGUGCUAUAUAUGUAAAAUACACACCAGAUUUCCAAGACUUAGUGCUAAAAAAAAGGUAAAGUAUCUCAUUAAUAUUUUUUGUUGAUUAAAUGUUUAAGUGGUUUUUUGAGUAUGUUUGUGUAAAUGAAAUAUAUUAUUAAAAUUAACUUUACCUGUAUAAGUGGUUUGGGUUGCUGUAACAAAAUACCACAGACUGGAUGAAUGGUUUAAACAACAGAAACUUAUUUUCUCACACUUCUGGAGGCUGGGAAGUACAAGAUCGAGGGACCAGCAAGUUUCAUUCUGAGGUCUCUUCUCUUGGCUUGUGGGUCAGUGCCACCUCUCUGUGUGCUCCCAGGACCCCUUCUUUGUGUGAGUAAAGAGAGAGCGAGAAACCUGUUGUCUCCUUUUUCUCCCAUCUCCCAGCUCUGUUGAGAUCAACAUGUAACGUGUAAGUUUAAGGUGCGAUAUCACCUUAUCAUCAUCACCUAAUCAAUGUGAUGACCUAGUACACAAGUACCUUGUGAAAUGAUUAUCAUAAAAGGUUAGUUAACAGUUCUAUCACCUCACAUAAUUACCGUGUGUGUGGUGAGAACUCUUAGGAUUUACUCUUUCAGCAAAGUUCAUGUAUAGGAUACAGUAGCUCCUAUAGUCAUCAUGCUGUACAUUAUCCCCAGAACUUACCCAACUUACGCGUGGAAGUUUGUACCCUUUGACCACCCAUUCAUUUCUCCCACCCCAACCCCUGGCAACAACCAUUUUACUACCCGUUUCUACGAGUUCAGCUUUUUUAAGAGUCCACACACAAGUGAGAGCAUACAGAAUUUGUCUUUCUCUGUCUGACUUACUUCACUCAGCAUCAUGCCCUCAAGGUUCAUCCAUAUUGUUGCAAAUGGCAGGGUUUCCUUCUCUUUUAAUGGUCUGAUAAUUUCCCCUUGUGUAUAUAAACCCCAUUUUUCUUUAUCCAUUCAUCUGUUGAUGAUACUUGGGUUGUUUCCAUGUCUUGACUACUGUGAAUAAUGCUGCAAUGAACAUGCAAGUGCAGAUAUCUCUUUGAGAUAGUGAUUUCAUUUCCUUUUGAUAAAUACUUAGAAGUGGGAUUGAUGGAUUAUAUGGUAGUUCUACUUUAAAUUUUUGAGGAACCUCCAUACUAUUUUCGGUAGUGGCUGUAUCAAUUUAUGUCCCCACCAACAGUGCCCUGGUGUCUCAUCCUCUUAUAAGGACACCAAUGCUAUCAAAUUAAGGCCCCACCCUUAUGACUUCAUUUAACUUAACUUACUCCCUUAGAGGCCCCAUCUCUAAAUACAGCCACACUGAGGGUUAGGUCUUUAACAUAUGAGUUUGGGGGACACAAACAUGCAGCCCAUAAUAUCACCCAUAUCUUUCUACGUUUGUAAUGUGGCUACUAGAACAUUUAAAUUACAUAUGUUGUGCACAUUAUAUUUCAAUUGGCAGCACCAGUCUAGAUGUUGGCUUUAAAAAUUGAAAACCAACUGUAGUGGGCUGAAUGGUAACCCCCCUGCCCCAACACCAAAUAUGUCCAUGUCCCAAACCUGUGAUUGUGACUUUAUUUAGAAAAAAAGGCUUCACAGAUGUAAUUAAGUUAAGGAUCUUGAGGGGAGGAGAUCAUCCUGGAUUAUCUGGAUGAGCCCUAUUUGCAAUGACAGGUGUCCAUAUAAGUGACCCACAGAGGAGAAGACACAGAAGAGAGUAGGAGGCAAUGUGACCACGGAGGCAGAGGUUGGAGUGAUGCAGUCACAAGCCAAGGGCUACUUGGAGCCACCAGAAACUGAAAGAUACAAGGAAAGAUUCUCCUUUAGAGCCUUUGGAGAGAGCUGUCUGGCUGACACCUUAAUUUCAGACUUCUGGCCUCCAGAACUGUCAGAGAACAAAUUUCUGUUGUUUUUAAGCCACCAAAUUUGUGGUCAUUUGUUACAGUUCUAGGAAACUAAUACAUAAAUAUAUUAUCAUUUAUAGUAUUACGACAAAAAAUUGUGAUUGGAUCCACAAAGAAGUAAGUGUAAUUCUUUGCACUACAAUUGUGCUUCUUGAAGGAGAGGUUCUUAGCAUCAAGGUCAAAUGGACUCUUGUUUAUUACACUCCCUCUAUUUCUUGAAAUGAGCUCGUUUCAGAUCAGUGAUUGCUUUGGAGCAGAGAGGACUGACUGGGAAGGGACAUGAGAGAAUUUUCUGGAGUGAUGGACAUGUUCUUCAUCUUGAUAGUGGUGUAAAUAAGGGAUAAUGGAAGUACACAUUUGUCGAAGCUGAUUGAGUGGUAUUGUUAAGAUCUGAGUACUUUUCCACGUGUAUGUUAUAGCUCAAUUUUAAAUAAAUAAGCUGCUUGAUUCUGAUGGGGUUUAGGGCAGGUUGCCUCCAAAUAUCCACUUUGGCAUAUUGAUUAUUUUGAAUUAAAGUUACUGGAGAAAGAGCCAGUGCAAAAAAGGACACUCUGACCCUCUCUUUGUUCCCCUGAAAACAGGAAAUAAACCUCCCACAUGAAAGGUACCCUCCCUGCACCAGGAGGUUAAGAGACGUUCUUAUCGCCUGUGAUAGGGAAUUCAGGGCUGAGAAGGCCAAGUAAACAAACUCUGCUUUGUUUCUUCACUAAUUAGUACCCAAGCCUAAAUUUGUCUUGUCAGUUUCUCACAGUUUUUUGUUUUUGUUUUUGUUUUUGUUUUUCAGUUCAUCACAAAUGUAUUGUUUCUUUGUCUAAAAGAUAUAAAAUCUAACCUGCUUUGGUCAUUUCUUUGCGUCUCAUAUUUCUGGGAACUCCCAUACAUACAAAAUUAAAGUUUGAUUUUCUCCUGUUAA